GAUGGACGAGGGGCCAAGGGAGGCCAUGGGUUAUCUUCUCCAAUUUUUGGAAGGAACCAGCCCCAUGGAUACCUUGAUUUUAGCCCCAUUAGCCUUAUUUUGGACUCUGACCUCUAGGACUGUAAGAGAAUAAUACAGUGUUGUUUUAAACCUCUGAGAUUCUGGUGACUGUUGCAGCAGCUGCAGGAACAGAAAAUGCGCUGCCUAGGUGGACCCUCUGGUUCCUCACCACCCAUGCUGGAGCGGCGCAGGCUGCCAGGAAGAACAAGGAAACAGUUCCAUGCUGGAGAGUCGUGAUCCGCAGAUCUGUCACACCGUGGGGAUUUUGUUGUGCUUUUUGAAUGCAGUGGCUAGCUGGACAGACAGACGGCAGAUGACUGCUUCAUGCCUCCGAGGCUGUAAAAUGGAACCAGAGAAAUCUCCCGUGGCUUCGGCUUCACUAGGUUGGUUUCCUUACAUGGUUGCAGAACCACUAAUGUGUCCUUAAUGAGCUGCCAUUUACUUAUGCAAAUAGCAGGGCACAGAUGCCAGGGGGAUGAGGGCUGAGCAGAGAGGCGUGCCUCUGCAUAUGGCUCAUGUUUUAACAUGGGAGCUGCUGUCCCUGGA
rnacentral:lncRNA from 1 species